rnacentral:rRNA from 1 species
AUUGAACGCUGGCGGCAGGCCUAACACAUGCAAGUCGAGCGGAUGAAGGGAGCUUGCUCCUGGAUUCAGCGGCGGACGGGUGAGUAAUGCCUAGGAAUCUGCCUGGUAGUGGGGGAUAACGUCCGGAAACGGGCGCUAAUACCGCAUACGUCCUGAGGGAGAAAGUGGGGGAUCUUCGGACCUCACGCUAUCAGAUGAGCCUAGGUCGGAUUAGCUAGUUGGUGGGGUAAAGGCCUACCAAGGCGACGAUCCGUAACUGGUCUGAGAGGAUGAUCAGUCACACUGGAACUGGGACACGGCCCAGACUCCUCGGGGGGCAGACAGUGGGAAUUAUGGCACAGUGGGGCAAGGCUGGUUCCGGCAGGCCCGGGGGUGGGAGAAAGGUCUUGGGAUUGUAAGCAAUUUUAGGUGGGAAGAAAGGGAAGGAAUUUAAUCCCUUCUUGUUUGGACUUUACCAAAAGAAAAAGCACCGGCUAACUUCGUC